GGUUGUCAGGACAAGGUUGCGUUUGGAAUUCACCCAGGGUCGGGGAGAAUGCAUCUAAGUGACAAGUGUUGAAGACUCAGAAGAGAGCAGGGUUGGUCAACCUGUGUCUGGGACAGACCUGGGCGUGUGAGGGCUGCACAUGUGUUCUUUAUUUAGCUGUGAGAAGAAACAGGUAAUACAAGACGUUUUGAAGGCUGCAAAAUGAUGGCAGAUGCUUAAUGCAUUCUCUCUCAGAAGAAUGAGGAGUGAGGACAUUUGUUCGAUAUGGCAGACACUGAGGUUGACACACGGCAGCCUGUCUUGUCAUUGACCUGCUCUCAACCUCGAAUCAUUUUCUAUCACAUUUAGAUGAAAAUCCAAAGCUUCUUUCACACCUACACGAGGUCAUAAAUCUUUGUUCCUCCUAUUAUCCACAUGUUUUCCCUUUGAGCAUUGUUCCCUCCGUCUGGAAUGCUUUCCCACCAGAUAUUCAUGUAGCUGGCUCCUUAAUUUGUUGAAUGAAUGAAUUGAUUCAUGUGGGAAGCUAUGUACAUUUCAAG